rnacentral:lncRNA from 1 species
GUCCAGAUUGUGGCUGAAGCUGAAUUUUAUGAGCCUUCCCCCAGCUCUCCUGUACUUCUUUUUCAGGGCAAGAAACAGAACGGAAAUGGAGAGGAGAGCCCAGCAUGACUUGCGCCGUGCCAAAGGAAUACGUGUGAGUUGGCUUCGUGUCAUCGUAACAAAACCCUGAGAGAAAUAUCUUGAAAGAGCCAGGUUGGUCCAGACCUGCUGGCAAGCCUGCAGCCCCAUCCACCGAUUACCUAAUACACUUGUGACAUCUGCUUUCCUUGUUGUGAGAAAACACAGGGAGGAAGUGUGUGCAGAAGGGGUGAUGCCUGACCUACACACCCGGCAAUACCAGAAGUUUCACUACCUUCCGUUGGUAAACGCUUCAGGGAAGGCUCUGCAACCCUGAACGUGUUUUAUUGUAGAACCUCACUAGGAAACUCAUCAGUAUUUAUUAAAGAUGAAUUAAAAGAAGGAGGAAAAGGAAAAACGGGAUAGUGAAGAGAAUAGAUGAAUGAAAAAGAAGCAAAGGGAAGAGAGGAGGAAGGGACAAAGAGGGCAAGAAAAGAGAAAAGAGAGAUGAGAGACCAGGACUUCCCACCUAACCUUACCAAACUUUUUCAGUUGAGCUUUUAAUGGGAUACUAUUCCCAAGAGGAAAUUCAAAAAGAAAACCACCUUGAAACAUCCUUGCUUUUAAUUGUACUCUUUCAACUGCCAGGAAAUUAAUUAGGUAAGACAAAAAGAAAAUUUUCUACCUUAAUAAAAAGAAGCCAACACCCAGGAACAACUGUCUUUGCUUGAGAACAGUGUUACGUGUACAAAGCUGCCUACAAAGUGUCUCCCGCCUGGCUCAGGCAAGAAACUGGGACAGAAGUCUGUGAUGUUAUACCAGCCUGGGAGUCGUGCAUGGUCAUGUCAGUGUCGAGUGCACCAGGCGACACAGGGACAUGCCAGGCACCGCUCCUCCAGAGAGACUUGCCAGGUAUACAUGUUACCUCUCUCCCUUAGGCUUCACAGACUCGGCGGCCUUCCUCCAACCACCUGUCUCCUUAGGAAGUUUGAGAGAACUUUCUCCUCUGUGAUACAAACAGUAACCAAACAAAGCAGUAAACAAUCCAGUGUGGAAAGCACAUACUAAAGCUAAGAUUUAAUGUCACUGAAAUAAAAUCAUAACAACAAAAAA